rnacentral:rRNA from 1 species
AGCAGCCGCGGUAAUUCCAGCUCCAAUAGCGUAUAUUAAAGUUGCUGCAGUUAAAAAGCUCGUAGUUGAAUUUCGGGAUCAAUAUGUUGGUCGUGCCUUGGUACGUACUAGCUUAUUGGUUUCUCCCUUCUGACGAACCAUGAUGUCAUUAAUUUGGUGUCAUGUGGAAUCAGGACUGUUACUUUGAAAAAAUUAGAGUGUUUAAAGCAGGCUCACGCUUGAAUACAUUAGCAUGGAAUAAUGGAAUAGGACGUUUGAUUCUAUUUUGUUGGUUUCUAGGAUCGACGUAAUGAUUAAUAGGGAUAGUUGGGGGCAUUAGUAUUCAAUUGUCAGAGGUGAAAUUCUUGGAUUUAUUGAAGACUAACUACUGCGAAAGCAUUUGCCAAGGAUGUUUUCAUUAAUCAAGAACGAAAGUUAGGGGAUCGAAGACGAUCAGAUACCGUCGUAGUCUUAACCAUAAACUAUGCCGACUAGGGAUCGGAUGAUGUUAAUUUUUUAAUGACUCAUUCGGCGCCUUACG